ensembl:lncRNA
UCUUUAACAACUGGUGUGGAGUCAUCUCAAUAUUUUAACAUCGGCUGGCUUUCCAGGUGUGUGCAGGGUGAUGAUUAGCUCUACCUGCCACCCAUCACAGAACUCAGAGUUUCACCACUUCCUUCUCCAUUUUCUUUAGCUGUCAGCAUAUAGUUAAUGGGCAACAACAAAGCUCUCCAUCCAGUUCUGGGAAAUAAUAAUCAUGGUUAAUAGUUAUUGAGAACUGAUGAUUUCGUUUCUUCUUCAUACCAACGCUUGGGGUAGGCACCAUUUUAAAAGCGAUUGGAGACAGGUUAAACAACUUGCCCUCAAUCAACGGUUGGGAAGUGAAAGAACCAAGCUUCAAAUCCAGGUCUGUCUGGGUCUUGAGCCAAGCUCGAAGUCUGUGUCACAUUGCCCAGGACUCGGCUGCCAAUUCUCCCCACCUCCUCGUCCCUCACUGCUGCAUCAGCAAAUCCAGGGCUCAUGGCAGGAAGAGCAGAGAAGAGCAAAGAGGUGAAGCUUUCAUGGUGUGAAGGGAAGGACGGAACUGGUGAGGUCCUGGUGUUACUCAUUCUGAGCUCCAGGGGCUGCUUCAUAUCACAACUUGAUGAAAACUCCUCGAAGUCACAUCUAUCCAUCCUUGCCUGGCACAGAGGAGAUGCUUCAUUUGGAUGUGUUGCUGGAGGGGAGAGGUGCAAGCAGUAUGCCAUGGGCACUCAGAGGAGCGUGAAGGGAUUCCAAGUCCAUUGCCUGUUGCCAAGCCAAGUGAAAAGCAGCUGUCGUCAGCAGAGUCAGGACUAUAAAAGUAUUCAGAGUGCUUGUGAAACAUCCCUCAAGGAUUUGUUUUUUACGAAGCCACUCUCCUUUACUCUCAAGUGACACGAAGUCCUUAUAGGUUCUACCUCCGAAAUUCUUGGAUCCCAUUUCCAAAAUAUGGCCAUGACAUAGAUUAAAGUCAAUUAUUUAACUUCACCUUGUUCAUGCCCUGAGUUGAUUUUGAACUUCUGUCUUAAUUUAUAGGCAUCAUACUUCAAUUUGUCUCUGGCAGAAUUUCUUUCCUUCUCACCCUUCAGUUUCAUCUCUGAGUAAUCUACCUACGGUCAUCUACUACAUGGUCCUUAUUUGCUAUUUCUUCCCUCCAUUUUUCCUUCUUUCCCUUCGUCCUUCCAUCUAUCCCUUUUUGUCCAUUAUCCACCCACAAAUAUUUAUUGAAAACCUACUGUAUGAAAAGCACUUACUCCUUAAGAUCUGGAUCCACACACUGUCUUUGCUUGUUAUGUCACUAAAUAUUUAACAGGUUGGUUGAGAUUUACGGCUACGUUAUCACUAAGGUUCCUUUGUUUAUAUUGAAGCAAACGUUCCUUGAAGAUAUUUCCAUUUAUGAACAGGCUGUAUAUCCAAGCUGCAUCCUAGGCCCUUAAUCCACUGCACUAUCCCCUAGCUGACAAAAUGAGCUCUUACCUCUAAAGGCUCUCACCUCUGCCCUCACCUCUGUCUUGAGCUUCUCUCUUGUUUUCCAGAAACAUUCUUCACAUUUUCUUGGAGCUUCCUUAUUUAUCUUUUGAUGAAUAUUUUCUAUCUAUCUAUCUAUCUAUCUAUCUAUCUAUCUACCUAUCUAUCUAUCUUUUUAAAACUAAACAAAAUAUUAUCUGGACUUGUUUCUGGCAUGUACGUGUCUUUGUCUGUGUUAAUAGUUCUUUUAAUCUGAUG